GUAAAUUUGUUUUAUGUAUGAUGCAAAUUUAGAUUCCCAUUUUUUUCCUUUCCUUGGCCACAUAUGCUUGCAAUUUUCUGUAGUACUCUUCCCACGUGGUGUCCCAUUCUGGCAGCCGAAGUGUUCGUGUCAGUGAAGGAUAAUCCACAUCGUGCAAUAACUUCUGUAGGCACUGCAUGAUUGGUACAUCAUCCUGUCAAGGACAAUCCACAGGUAUCAAUUCCAGUUUAACACAGAAUUGCUUGAGUUCUCAUUUUGAGCAAUUUCUUGCACACACAGUAAAAAGUAAAUAAAGCCUUUGAAACUUACCUUAAGGACGUCAGUGAAAGAUGAAUCUCUCAGCCUCCUGGGAAGCCAAUUUCUCAGUUCAACACAUGCCCUGCCAUUCACCUCAUCAUCUCUUGUUUAACUUGUUUCCUGCUUCUGUCUCAUCGAGAUUCCUGCUGGCAAGCAAAUCCUUGCUUGUCUGGUCUUGCUUUGCAAGUUCCCUCAAUAGUGGUGGUGUGAUGAAAGCACCAGGUUAGACUACACCUUCAAUCAGAUAACCUUUCCCUAUCUUCUUCCUCACUGCUACUGACCUUAGUUGAGGACCACCAUAAGGUCUUCGAUGCGUUAACUAUCGGUCAGUGGAAUUUUUGACAGUAAUGCUUU
rnacentral:lncRNA from 1 species